rnacentral:rRNA from 1 species
UACGGAGGGUGCAAGCGUUAUCCGGAUUCACUGGGUUUAAAGGGUGCGUAGGCGGGUAAGUAAGUCCGUGGUGAAAUCUCUGAGCUUAACUCAGAAACUGCCGUGGAUACUAUUUGCCUUGAAUAUUGUGGAGGUGAGCGGAAUAUGUCAUGUAGCGGUGAAAUGCUUAGAUAUGACAUAGAACACCAAUUGCGAAGGCAGCUCACUAUACAAUCAUUGACGCUGAGGCACGAAAGCGUGGGAUCAAACAGG